rnacentral:rRNA from 1 species
GUUCCGACCUGCACGAAUGGCGUAAUGAUGGCCAGGCUGUCUCCACCCGAGACUCAGUGAAAUUGAACUCGCUGUGAAGAUGCAGUGUACCCGCGGCAAGACGGAAAGACCCCGUGAACCUUUACUAUAGCUUGACACUGAACAUUGAGCCUUGAUGUGUAGGAUAGGUGGGAGGCUUUGAAGUGUGGACGCCAGUCUGCAUGGAGCCGACCUUGAAAUACCACCCUUUAAUGUUUGAUGUUCUAACGUGGACCCGUAAUCCGGGUUGCGGACAGUGUCUGGUGGGUAGUUUGACUGGGGCGGUCUCCUCCUAAAGAGUAACGGAGGAGCACGAAGGUUGGCUAAUCCUGGUCGGACAUCAGGAGGUUAGUGCAAUGGCAUAAGCCAGCUUGACUGCGAGCGUGACGGCGCGAGCAGGUGCGAAAGCAGGUCAUAGUGAUCCGGUGGUUCUGAAUGGAAGGGCCAUCGCUCAACGGAUAAAAGGUACUCCGGGGAUAACAGGCUGAUACCGCCCAAGAGUUCAUAUCGACGGCGGUGUUUGGCACCUCGAUGUCGGCUCAUCACAUCCUGGGGCUGAAGUAGGUCCCAAGGGUAUGGCUGUUCGCCAUUUAAAGUGGUACGCGAGCUGGGUUUAGAACGUCGUGAGACAGUUCGGUCCCUAUCUGCCGUGGGCGCUGGAGAACUGAGGGGGGCUGCUCCUAGUACGAGAGGACCGGAGUGGACGCAUCACUGGUGUUCGGGUUGUCAUGCCAAUGGCACUGCCCGGUAGCUAAAUGCGGAAGAGAUAAGUGCUGAAAGCAUCUAAGCACGAAACUUGCCCCGAGAUGAGUUCUCCCUGAGACUUAGAGUCUCCUGAAGGAACGUUGAAGACGACGACGUUGAUAGGCCGGGUGUGUAAGCGCAGCGAUGCGUUGAGCUAACCGGUACUAAUGAACCGUGAGGCUUAACCUUACA